rnacentral:lncRNA from 1 species
UGCUGAACGACAAGUUCCUCAUGCCGGCGUCCAUGAAGGAGGAGGCCACCGAUGUCGAGUUCAUCCAGAAGAGGAGCGCGUCUGGCGCGGAGCCUGAGCUGAUGCUGAACAACCGUGUCUACACCUGCCACAAUGUCCAGUGCCCGCAUAGCGACUAUGGAUACGGGUUCCUUGACCGGAACGCGCGCAACAGCCACCAAUACACUUGCAAGUACAAUGAUCCACUCCAGCAGAGCACGGAGAACAAGCCAUCGCCACCGGCCAUCUUCCCGGCAACCUACAACACGCCGAACCAGGCUCUGAACAAUCUGGAUUUCGGCCUGCCCAUGGAUGGCCAGAGGUCAAUUACAGAGCUGAUGAACAUGUACGACAACAACUUCGUGGCCAACAAGAACCUUAGCAACGACAAUGCCACGAUCAUGGAGAGGCCUAAUGCAGUCAACCCAAGGAUACAGAUUGAAGAAGGCUUUUUUGGACAGGGAAGUGGCAUCGGCGGCAGCAACGGAGGUGUGUUCGAAGAUGUCAAUGGCAUGAUGCAGCAACCGCAGCAGACCACCCCGGCACAGCAGCAGUUCUUCAUCCGCGACGAUACUCCAUUCGGUAACCAGAUGGGCGACAUCAAUGGCGCAUCGGAGUUCAGGUUCGGCUCUGGUUUCAACAUGUCAGGUGCCGUCGAAUACCCCGGCGCAAUGCAGGGCCAGCAGAAGAAUGACGGCGCAUCGGAGUUUGAGGAAUUGGAAUGAUCCUAAGAGAUAGUGCUGGCCAAGUUAUUUUUACAUCAUGGCACUCUCUGGAUUAUUGCACCGAGGUGCUGGAAAUCUAGCUUACAUUUAAGUUUGCAUACCAUUAAAAGAAAAAACUUGUCGUAAUGUUUUACUCAUUUAUGUCUAGUUUGGUUUUUUCCUAACUGAGCGUUUCAAUAAUAAAUGUAUAGCAAACUUAUUUUUUUACUUUGAUUGAAAUGGACAAUUUUAGAAACAAGAUGUAUGUGAGUUGAAACAUCGAUUAAUAUACUCCCAAUAAGAUAUUAUCUAUACUCCUCUAAAAAGAAUUCAAUGGUGGUGGUAUUGAAGCUGCCAUCAACACAUACUCCCAUUACAAUUUUUACAUAUUAUCUCUUAAACUUCUUAAUAUUUACAUAACAACUAAAUCUAAAUAGAUAGCCACAUAUAAAAUUAACGUGGAUAAUCACAUUUUCCUACACAUUCAAACUAGACAACGUUCAUUAGAUAUUUUAUCCUAGUUUGUAUGCUUCCAGCCAAAAACUAAUUAAUCAUAUUUUAAAUUCAAUAACAGUUUAGAGAACUCAUUAAAAAAAACUCCCGCCAAACACGUACGUGUACUCACACGUUUUGCCCUAUUUUUGCAUGCCUACCGAUGUACGUGCUCCCAUAAAAAAACUUGAAAAGCGCGCAGAAAAUCAGUCUCUCCCCCAUGUAGCCUCCGGGAGGGAGAACCAAUCUGAUACUGUACUACAUACAGUACUAAACAGAACCCUACCGAGGGCAAAACGGUAAACCGGCCUCCCUGCAGCCCCUGGAGGGCCUGGACACAGUACACCUAGCUAUUAGCUCUCUGAUCCUGGGACCCCACAUGUCACGGACAGAUGCCUGUGUUUCACCUUUUCACCCUCCCAAAGCAACGCAGUUACCGGCUUACCGGAGCGAGCCGCCGCCGCCGCCGCAGCGCAGCGGCGCAGGGCGGUUCGUUCGUGGGAGGAAGACUAGUUUUAGGGCGGGAUUAUAAAAGGGGGAGGGGGAGGAGAAGGUCCCUGUCGCUGUUGCACCCAAGCCACCACCCAUUUCGGCACACCCUUCCCUCCACUUGCCGAUUACUUUUUUGCCCCCCGGCGCGCUGGGCGCCUUGGCUUUGGCCCUGGCUUUGGCUCCGCUGUUCUUAUCUUCCCCACUCGUGCCUGGCUCUCUCUCUCUCCCUUUCUCCUCUCCUCCAAGGUCAUGGCAAAGGAGAAAUAACAGCUAGCGGGCUUGGGGAAGGGAAAACAGCAAGUGGGAGAUCGGCAGGGAGAGGUAGGGAGCUCGAUCUCGCCUUUGCUUGCUUGCUGCUAUCCCCUUCUCUUUCUGUUGUGGGCUUGCUGUUCUCCAUGUCCUCCUGUUGAUGGUUGCUUGUGUUCGAGUUUUUUUCUUUUUUUUUCUUUUUUUUUCUUGGAGAGGAUGUGGUUGUGUUCAUGAUAGGUUGGUGGUCUGUGAUCUGUUUGGGUAGAUCUUUUGUCCUCUUUUUCAGAUAUUUCGUGGAUGCUAGAGCUGCCUGCGGUAGCCAAUUCCUGUUUGGCUACUUCUUCGUUGCCCUUUAUUCCCUUCCAAUUUUAUUCCGUGAUUUUCUGUUCUUGUGCGUAGAAUUGUUUCUGCCAAGCUUGAGUAAAUCCAUGGCAGAGGUCAAAGCUUAGCUUUUUUCAGAUUAUACGAUUUGCUGCCAGCCAAAGGAGAAAGGGAAAAAAACUUAGAAAUUUUCUACUAGUUUUCUCUUGUUGUGUUCAUUAGAUCUCAGAGAUUAACCUAAUUUAAGGAAUACAUGUUGUAAAUCCUGCUCUGGAAAUGUUAAGUGGUUGGGUGUAAGGAAGCAUCUUGUUUUGCAUCGAGUUUAUGGCCAAAAACAAUCAUUGAUGCUUCCUCUAAGGCGGUGUAUGUUUUCCUCUGUUCUCCAUUUGAUGUGUUCUUGAUCCAUUUUCGUCUCUUGUUUUCUUCUGUUCUUUUAGAUGGCCUCCGAUUCCUUUUGAUAAGCACAUGGGUACAUGUUCUUGUUUCCAACAGUCCAUGCCGGUCGUGGUAGACCGAAAAAAUAAUCCAUAAAAAUAUAUCCUUUUUCUGAAAUGUUUUUCCCGUGCUUUUCUAUUCCUUUUUCAUCUCCCACUUUGAUCUGAUCAAGGCUUGUUGUUUCAUGUGUUUCAAAAUACUUCACGGAAAGGAUAAGAAAAGGAGAAAUUUCACAUGUUUAAGUUUCUUUUGAUCCCUACUUGUUUCAAAGCAGCAUGAAAAUACCGUUUCAGCUAAUCCCGUGCAUCACAAAAUGUUUUCAUGCUUCGGCUUUGACUAAUUCUUCCGUUAGUACUUUAUUUAUGAUCAUGUCUGAAUCAUGAUACCUUUAUGCUGUGUAGUAUGAUUAUGUCACAACAAAAGAUAACCAUGUCCUAUAUGACUGUUAAUUGCGUGCUCUUAACUCUGUGAGAGGAUUGCAGGAGAUAUGUCUGAUCAGAUAAAGAUCUCUCUGUUUCACCAAACACAUGCAAAAUUAGGCUCUGGCCCUUGCUUCAAUAGGCAAACCUAAUUUUACUCGCGCGAUAAUCUCCUGGUCUCCUGGCUUUCUAGAUCUUAGAAUGUUUUCUGAAGGGAAACAAACCAGUACUGCCUCUUUAUUUUUGGUAAUGGCGUAAUUGCCGCAUUAGGAUGCUGCGGUAACCGUAGUCGUGUUGCGCAUGUAUUCUCAGUUAAGGAGGUAGUAGUAACACUUAUUGCGUUUAGACGAAGUAAUCAGUUGCUUAAACUUGGUUUUGAUUUCUGUAAUUAACAUCAGCUUCUUCUCUUGCUUGUGUGCAGGUGAAUUACUACUUGAGUAGAAGUGGUACAAGAAGAGUCGUCGUCUACCUGUGAGCGAAUUAUUUCGAGGUUGUGCGUUGCGAUGAUGGGAGGUGGUCUGGUGAUGGACCAGGGCAUGAUGUUCCCCGGCGUGCACAACUUCGUGGAUCUCCUGCAGCAGAACGGCGGCGACAAGAACCUCGGCUUCGGCGCGCUCGUGCCGCAGACGUCGUCGGGGGAGCAGUGCGUGAUGGGGGAGGGCGACCUCGUGGACCCGCCGCCGGAGAGCUUCCCGGACGCCGGUGAGGACGACAGCGACGACGACGUGGAGGACAUCGAGGAGCUGGAGCGCCGCAUGUGGCGCGACCGCAUGAAGCUGAAGCGGCUCAAGGAGCUGCAGCUGAGCCGGGGCAAGGACCCCGCGGGCGGCGUCGUGGGCGACCCGUCCAAGCCGCGGCAGUCGCAGGAGCAGGCGCGGCGGAAGAAGAUGUCGCGCGCGCAGGACGGCAUCCUCAAGUACAUGCUCAAGAUGAUGGAGGUGUGCCGCGCGCAGGGGUUCGUGUACGGGAUCAUCCCGGAGAAGGGCAAGCCGGUGAGCGGCGCCUCCGACAACCUCCGCGGCUGGUGGAAGGAGAAGGUCCGCUUCGACCGCAACGGCCCCGCCGCCAUCGCCAAGUACCAGGCCGACAACGCCGUCCCGGGCUUCGAGAGCGAGCUCGCCUCCGGCACCGGGAGCCCGCACUCGCUGCAGGAGCUGCAGGACACCACCCUCGGGUCGCUGCUCUCGGCGCUCAUGCAGCACUGCGACCCUCCGCAGCGGCGGUACCCGCUCGAGAAGGGCGUCCCUCCGCCGUGGUGGCCCACCGGCGACGAGGAGUGGUGGCCGGAGCUCGGCAUCCCCAAGGACCAGGGCCCGCCUCCGUACAAGAAGCCCCAUGACCUCAAGAAGGCCUGGAAGGUCAGCGUGCUCACCGCUGUCAUCAAGCACAUGUCGCCGGACAUCGAGAAGAUCCGCCGGCUGGUCCGGCAGUCCAAGUGCCUCCAGGACAAGAUGACCGCCAAGGAGAUCUCCACCUGGCUGGCCGUCGUCAAGCAGGAAGAGGAGCUGUACCUGAAGCUGAACCCCGGUGCCCGCCCUCCGGCACCUACCGGCGGCAUCACCAGCGCCAUAUCGUUCAACGCCAGCUCAAGUGAGUACGACGUCGACGUCGUCGACGACUGCAAGGGCGACGAGGCCGGCAACCAGAAGGCUGUUGUUGUCGCCGACCCGACCGCGUUCAACCUCGGCGCGGCUAUGCUGAACGACAAGUUCCUCAUGCCGGCGUCCAUGAAGGAGGAGGCCACCGAUGUCGAGUUCAUCCAGAAGAGGAGCGCGUCUGGCGCGGAGCCUGAGCUGAUGCUGAACAACCGUGUCUACACCUGCCACAAUGUCCAGUGCCCGCAUAGCGACUAUGGAUACGGGUUCCUUGACCGGAACGCGCGCAACAGCCACCAAUACACUUGCAAGUACAAUGAUCCACUCCAGCAGAGCACGGAGAACAAGCCAUCGCCACCGGCCAUCUUCCCGGCAACCUACAACACGCCGAACCAGGCUCUGAACAAUCUGGAUUUCGGCCUGCCCAUGGAUGGCCAGAGGUCAAUUACAGAGCUGAUGAACAUGUACGACAACAACUUCGUGGCCAACAAGAACCUUAGCAACGACAAUGCCACGAUCAUGGAGAGGCCUAAUGCAGUCAACCCAAGGAUACAGAUUGAAGAAGGCUUUUUUGGACAGGGAAGUGGCAUCGGCGGCAGCAACGGAGGUGUGUUCGAAGAUGUCAAUGGCAUGAUGCAGCAACCGCAGCAGACCACCCCGGCACAGCAGCAGUU